GCGGUGGAUGAUGUGGAUUAAUUCGAUGCAACGCGAAAAACCUUACCUACCCUUGACAUGUCAAGGAAUCCUGGAGAGAUCUGGGAGUGCUCGCAAGAGAACCUGAACACAGGUGCUGCAUGGCUGUCGUCAGCUCGUGUCGUGAGAUGUUGGGUUAAGUCCCGCAACGAGCGCAACCCUUGUCAUUAAUUGCCAUCAUUCAGUUGGGCACUUUUAAUGAGACUGCCGGUGACAAACCGGAGGAAGGUGGGGAUGACGUCAAGUCCUCAUGGCCCUUAUGGGUAGGGCUUCACACGUCAUACAAUGGUCGGUUCAGAGGGUUGCCAACCCGCGAGGGGGAGCCAAUCUCAGAAAGCCGAUCGUAGUCCGGAUCGCAGUCUGCAACUCGACUGCGUGAAGUCGGAAUCGCUAGUAAUCGCGGAUCAGCAUGUCGCGGUGAAUACGUUCCCGGGUCUU
rnacentral:rRNA from 1 species